rfam:Marinobacter sp. HL-58 ITZY_scaf_8, whole genome shotgun sequence.
CCGCCCGUAGCUCAGCUGGAUAGAGCGCUGCCCUCCGGAGGCAGAGGUCAGAGGUUCGAAUCCUCUCGGGCGGG